rnacentral:rRNA from 1 species
AUUGAACGCUGGCGGCAGGCCUAACACAUGCAAGUCGAGCGGGGUUUUCGGACCUAGCGGCGGACAGGUGAGUAAUGCGUAGGAAGCUACCCGAUAGAGGGGGAUACCAGUUGGAAACGACUGUUAAUACCGCAUAAUGUCUACGGACCAAAGUGUGGGACCUCCGGGCCACAUGCUAUCGGAUGCGCCUACGUGGGAUUAGCUAGUUGGUGAGGUAAUGGCUCACCAAGGCGACGAUCCCUAGCUGGUUUGAGAGGAUGAUCAGCCACACUGGAACUGAGACACGGUCCAGACUCCUACGGGAGGCAGCAGUAAGGAAUAUUGGACAAUGGGCGCAAGCCUGAUCCAGCCAUGCCGCGUGUGUGAAGAAGGCCUUCGGGUUGUAAAGCACUUUCAGUAGGGAGGAAGCGUUGUGUGUUAAUAGUACACAGCGUUGACGUUACCUACAGAAGAAGCACCGGCUAACUCUGUGCCAGCAGCCGCCGCAGUAA